rnacentral:tRNA from 5 species
AGGUCAGUAGUUCAAUGGUAGAACAGUGGUCUCCAAAACCACAUGUUGGGGGUUCGAUUCCCUUCUGACCUG